rnacentral:rRNA from 1 species
UACGUAGGGUGCAAGCGUUGUCCGGAAUUAUUGGGCGUAAAGAGCUCGUAGGCGGUUUGUCGCGUCUGCUGUGAAAACUCGAGGCUCAACCUCGAGACGCCGAUGGAAACCAUCUGGCUAGAGUCCGGAAGAGGAGAGUGGAAUUCCUGGUGUAGCGGUGAAAUGCGCAGAUAUCAGGAGGAACACCGGUGGCGAAGGCGGUGGUCUGGGCCGGCACUGACGCUGAGGAGCGAAAGCGUGGGGAGCGAACAGG